CUAGAAUACCUCCCUACCAUGGACCUGAUCACUACAGAUAAUCCCAGUCAAAACUUUUAAGUCCCCAUCCCAUGUGCUUCAUGUCAUUCUGCCUCCAAGAAGUACAAGGGCUGAGGACCAGGAUCGACCAAGAAGUGGGCAGGUUGUAUCUGUGACCAAGAGGUUGUGUCUACAGUUCCAGCCUUUGACAAGGGUCAGGAGAAUUGGGUUUUUUUAGAGUGAUAAUAUCAUCCCCUACAGUUUCUGAACAAAAUAAGAAGAGUAUCAAAUGAACAUCAAAAUAUUAUUUUUUUUUCUGGUAAAAUUACUUUGAAGAGCAUGCCUUUGACCUACAGCCUAAAU
rnacentral:lncRNA from 1 species